AUGAUGGACUAUAGGACAGGACUGCUGCUUUUAACUCUCUGCUGGGCAGGUGUUGAUGGUCAGACUCUGACAGAAUCUGAACCAGCGGUUAAAAAGCCUGGAGAAUCUCACAAACUGACCUGUACAGUUUCUGGAUUCACAAUCAGCAGCUACUACAUGGCCUGGAUCAGACAGGCUCCUGGAAAAGGACUGGAGUGGAUUGCUACUGAUGGUGGUGGCAGCACCAAAUACUACUCUCAGUCAGUUCAAGGCCGAUUCACCAUCUCCAGAGACAACAGCAGAGAGCAGCUGUAUCUGCAGAUGAACAGUCUGAAGACUGAAGAUUCUGCUGUUUAUUAUUGUCACUCAGUCACUCUAUUGGACAGCUUGGAUCAGACAGCCUGCAAGGAAGAACUGGAGUGGAUUGGAAGUGCAGCAGCUGGAUACACAUUCUACAAAGAUUCACUAAAGAACAAGUUCAGUAUCGACUUAGACUCUUCCAGCAACAGAGUGACUCUAAACGGACAGAGUGUGCAGCCUGAAGACACUGCUGUGUAUUACUGUGCCAGAGACCCACAAUAA